GACUGAGGAGGCAAGCGAUAUCCGGAAUUAUUGGGCGUAACGGGUACAUAGGCGGCUGGUUAAGUCUGGGGUUAAAGGCCACAGCUCAACUGUGGAAAGGCCCUGGAAACUGACCGGCUAGAGUGAGGUAGGGGUUGCGUGAAUUCCCGGUGUAGCGGUGAAAUGCGUAGAGAUCGGGAAGAACACCUGAGGCGGAAGCGCGCAACUGGGUCUCAACUGACGCUGAGGUACGAAAGGUAGGGGAGCGAAUGGG
rnacentral:rRNA from 1 species